rnacentral:rRNA from 1 species
AACAACAGAUGAUGCCUAUCAACUGUUUAAAAGAUGGGUUCUGCUAUUCACUCUUGGGAUGGGACCUGCGGUGCAUUAGCUAGUUGGUAGGAUAACGGGCCUACCCAAGGCGAUGAUGCAUAGCCCGAGUUGAGAGACUGAUCGGGCCACAUUGGGACUGAGACACGGCCCAAAACUCCUACGGGAGGCAGCAGUAGGGAAUCUUCCACAAUGGACGCAAGUCUGAUGGAGCAACGCCGCGUGAGUGAAGAAGGGUUUCGGCUCGUAAAGCUCUGUUGUUGGUGAAGAAGGACAGGGGUAGUAACUGACCUUUGUUUGACGGUAAUCAAUUAGAAGUCACGGCUAACUACGUGCCAGCAGCCGCGGUAAU